AUUGAACGCUGGCGACAGGCCUAACACAUGCAAGUCGAGCGAGCGGCGGACGGGUGAGUAAUGCCUGGGAAUUGCCCAGUCGAGGGGGAUAACAGUUGGAAACGACUGCUAAUACCGCAUACGAUUGGAUUGCCCAGGUGGUAUUAGCUAGUUGGUGAGGUAAUGUCGCACCAAGGCGACGACCCCUAGCUGGUCUGAGAGGAUGAUCAGCCAAACGGGAACUGAGACACGGUCCAGACUCCUAUGGGAGGCAGAAGUGGGGAAUAUUGCACAAUGGGGGAAACCCUGAUGCAGCCAUGCCGCGUGUGUGAAGAAGGCCGUAGGGUUGUAAAGCACUUUCAGCGGGGAGGCGUUACUCGCAGAAGAAGCACCGGCUAACUCCGUGCCAGCAGCCGCGGUAAUUC
rnacentral:rRNA from 1 species